UACGUAGGGGGGCUAGCGUUGUCCGGAAUCAUUGGGCGUAAAGCGCGUGUAGGCGGUUCGGUAAGUCCGCUGUGAAAGUCGGGGGGCUCAACCCCUCGGAUGCCGGUGGAUACUGUCGGACUAGAGUACGGAAGAGGCGAGUGGAAUUCCUGGUGUAGCGGUGAAAUGCGCAGAUAUCAGGAGGAACACCAAUUGCGAAGGCAGCUCGCUGGGACGUUACUGACGCUGAGGCGCGAAAGCUAGGGGGAGCGAACGGG
rnacentral:rRNA from 1 species